rnacentral:rRNA from 1 species
AUUGAACGCUGGCGGCGGGCUUAACACAUGCAAGUCGAGCGGAGAUGAGGUGCUUGCACCUUAUCUUAGCGGCGGACGGGUGAGUAAUGCUUAGGAAUCUGCCUAUUAGUGGGGGACAACAUUCCGAAAGGAAUGCUAAUACCGCAUACGUCCUACGGGAGAAAGCAGGGGAUCUUCGGACCUUGCGCUAAUAGAUGAGCCUAAGUCGGAUUAGCUAGUUGGUGGGGUAAAGGCCUACCAAGGCGACGAUCUGUAGCGGGUCUGAGAGGAUGAUCCGCCACACUGGGACUGAGACACGGCCCAGACUCCUACGGCAGGCAGCAGUGGGGAAUAUUGGACAAUGGGCGGAAGCCUGAUCCAGCCAUGCCGCGUGUGUGAAGAAGGCCUUUUGGUUGUAAAGCACUUUAAGCGAGGAGGAGGCUACUGAGACUAAUACUCUUGGAUAGUGGACGUUACUCGCAGAAUAAGCACCGGCUAACUCUGUGCCAGCAGCCGCCGUAAAAC